CGCGGUAUUUUGACUGUGCGAAGGUAGCAUAAUCAUUUGUCUUUUAAUUGAAGACUUGUAUGAAUGGCUGAACGAGAAAAUAACUGUCUCUUUAAAAAAUCUUGAAUUUUACUUUUAAGUGAAAAGGCUUAAAUAAUUUUAAGGGACGAUAAGACCCUAUAAAUCUUUAUAUUAUUUUUCUUUAACUUUCAAAUUAUAUAUUAAAAGAAAUAAAAGAAAAAAAUAUUGUAUUGGGGAGAUAAAAAUAUAAUUUUUUAACUGUUUUAAAUAUAAAACAAUAAUUUUUGAUUUAUUAAAAAUUGAUCCUUUUUUAAAGAUUUUAAGAUUAAGUUACUUUAGGGAUAACAGCGUAAUUUUUUUUGAGAGUUCUUAUCGAAAAAAAAGUUUGCGACCUCGAUGUUGAAUUAAAAUAUCCUUAUAAGUGCAGAAGCUAUAAAGGAAAGUCUGUUCGACUUUUAAAAUUUUACAU
rnacentral:rRNA from 1 species